rnacentral:snoRNA from 1 species
CUGGGAGGUCAUGCUCCCUGGGCUCUGUCCAGGUGGCAGGGAGAAGCACAUGAUGUACUGUACACUCUUUUUCUACAACAUCAGAGACUGCACCUGCAUAUCCUACAGCAGCUUCUCAGAACCCUGUGGACAAAGGCUGAGGAGACAAACCAUGCAGGAACCAGCC